rnacentral:tRNA from 1 species
CGGGGCGUAGCGCAGCCCGGUUUAGCGCGCCUGCUUUGGGAGCAGGAAGUCGGAGGUUCGAAUCCUCUCGCCCCGACCA